GACGAAGGAUGCAAGCGUUAUCCGGAUUCAUUGGGUUUAAAGGGAGCGUAGGUGGCCUUAUAAGUCAGUGGUGAAAUCUUCGAGCUUAACUCGGAAAUUGCCAUUGAUACUGUAGGGCUUGAGUAUAGUUGCCGUUGGCGGAAUAUGACAUGUAGUGGUGAAAUACAUAGAGAUGUCAUAGAACACCGAUUGCGAAGGCAGCUGACGAAACUAUAACUGACACUGAGGCUCGAAAGUGCGGGAUCAACAGG
rnacentral:rRNA from 1 species